GACGUAGGGCGCGAGCGUUGUCCGGAUUUAUUGGGCGUAAAGAGCUCGUAGGCGGUUUGUCGCGUCUGCUGUGAAAUCCCGAGGCUCAACCUCGGGCUUGCAGUGGGUACGGGCAGACUAGAGUGCGGGUAGGGGAGAUUGGAAUUCCUGGUGUAGCGGUGGAAUGCGCAGAUAUCAGGAGGAACACCGAUGGCGAAGGCAGAUCUCUGGGCCGUAACUGACGCUGAGGAGCGAAAGCGUGGGGAGCGAACAGG
rnacentral:rRNA from 1 species